ensembl:lncRNA
UGAUCUUCAGGUUAAAUGGAUGUUUCUGAAGAGAAAACGCGUGAUUUUUGCAUAACUGGGGUAUUUGCGAAGAGAAAACGUGUGUUUUUCGCUUAAAUGGGGGAUUCACGAAGAGAAAACGCGUGAUUUCUGCAUAACUGGGGGAUUUGCGAAGAGAAAAUGCGUGUUUUUCGCUUCAAAGGGGGAUUUGCAAAGAGAAAACGAAUGAUUUUCGCAUCAAUGUGGGAUUCUCGAAGAGAAAAGGCGUGAUUUUCGCUUCAAUGGGGGAUUUGCGAAGAGAAAAUGCGAGAUUUUCGGGUUAAAUGGGAAAUUUGCGAAUAGGAAACGUGAUUUUCGCUUAAAUGGGGGAUUUGCGAAGAGAAAACGCGUGAUUUUUGCUUAAAUGAGGGAUUUGCGAGGAGAAAACACAUCAUUUUCACAUAAAUGGGGGAUUCUCGAAGAGAAAACGCGUGAUUUUCAGGUUAAAUGGGAAAUUUGCGAAUAGGAAACAUGAGAUUUUUGCUUAAAUGGGGGAUUUUCGAAGAGAAAACGCGUGAUUUUUGCAUUAAAUGGAGGUUUCUGAAGAGAAAAUGCAUGAUUUUUGUUUAAAUGGGGGAUUUGCGAAUAGAAAAAGCGUGAUUUUCGCUUAAAUGGAAGAUGCUCGAAGAGAAAAUAUGUGAUUUUUGCUUAAAUGGGGGAUUUGAGAAGUGAAAAUGCAUGUUUUUCGCUUAAAUAGGGGAUUUGCAAAGAGAAAACGCGUGAUUUUCAGGUUAAAUGGCGGAUUUGCAAAAAGAAAGCGCGUGAUUUUCGCUUCAAUGAAGGAUUUCAGAAGAGAAAACACAUGAUUUUCGUGUUAAAUGGGGGAUUUGCGAAGAGAAAAUGCAUGAUUUUCUGGUUAAAUGGGGGAUGUGCGAAUAGAAAACCCGUGAUUUUCGCUUAAAUGUGGGAUUUCUAAAGAGAAAAGCGCGUGAUUUUCGCUUCAAUGGGGGAUUCACGAAGAGAAAACACGUAAUUUUCACUUAAAUGGGGGAUUUAGGGUUAGGUUUAAGGUCAUUGAGCGGGUUAGGGUUAGGGUUCAGGGUUAGGUUUAGGGUAAGGGUUAGGGUUAGAGUUAGGUUUAGGGUUAGGUUAGGGUUAGGGUUAGGUUUAGGGUUAGGGUUUGGGUUAAGCUUAGGGUUAGGGUUAGGGUAGGGUUAGGUUUUGGGUUAGGGUUAGGGUAGAGUUAGGGUUAGGGUUAAGGUUAGGGUUAGGGUUAGGAUUAGGAUUAGGGUAAAUUUAGGGUAAGUGUACUGUAAGGGAUAGGGUUAGUUUAGGGUUAGGGUUAUAGUGAGAGAAAGUCUUAGUUUACGAUUAGGUUUUCAGAUAGGCUAAGGGUUCGGUUUGGGGUUAGUGUUAGGAUAAUGGUUAUGGUUGGGGUAGGGUUAGGGUUAGGGUAGUGUUAUUGAUAGGUUUGGGCUUCGGGUAAGUUUGGGUAGGGGUUUUGGUUAGUGUUAUGUUUAGCUUUAGGGUCAGAGUUAGGUUUGUGUUAGGAUUAGGUUUAGCGUUAGGCUUAGGGUAAGAUUAGGGUAUGGGUAACGUUUAGUAAUAGGGUUAGGGUUAUUGUUAGGGUUAGGGUUAUGGUUCAUGUAGAGUAGGAUUGAGGUUAGAGUAUGGGUUUGGGUGGGGUUACAUUUAGGGAUAAUGUUAGGGUUACGUUUAAAGUAAUAUUUAGCAUUUUUGUUAGGGUUAGAGUUAGGGUUAAGGUUAGGGUUAGGGUUAAGGUUAGGGUUAGGGUUAGGGUUAGGGUUAUUGUAAGUUAUAGUGCUAGGGUUAUGGUUAGUGUUAAAGUUAGGGUUAGGGUUAGGUUUACGGUUAGGGUUAGGGUUAGGCUUAGGGUAAGUGUUAAGGCUAGGGUAGGGGUUAAGCUUAGGGUUAAGGUUAGGGUUAUUGUAAGGGUUAGGGUUAGGGUUAGGAUUAGAAUUAGGGUUAGGGUUAGGGUUAGGGUUAGGGUAUGGGCUAAGGCUAGGGUAGGGGUUAAGGUUAGGGUUAAGGUUAGGGUUAUUGUAAGGUUUAGGGUUAGGAUUAGAAUUAGCGUUAGGGCUAGGGUUAGGGUUAAGCUAGGGUUACGGUUAGGGUUAGGUUUAGGGCUAGGUUCAGGUUUAGGGUUAGGGUUAGGGUUAGGGUUAAGCUACGGUUACGGUUAGGGUUAGGUUUAGGGCUAGGUUCAGUUUUAGGUUUAGGGUUAGGGUUAGGGUUAGGGUUAGGGUUGGGUUAGGGUUAGGGUUAGGGUUAGGGUUAGGGUUAGGGUAGGGUUAGGUUUAGGGUUAGGGUUAGGGUUAGGGUUAGGGUUAGGGUUAGGUUUAGGGUUCUGGUUAGGAUUAGGGUUACGGAUGGGGUUAGGGUUAGGGUUAGGGUUAGGGUUAGGUUUAGGGUUUGGCUUAGGGUUAGGGUAAGGGUAGAGAUAUGGUUGGCGUUAGGGUUAGGUUUAGGUUUAUGGUUAGG